rnacentral:rRNA from 1 species
UACGUAGGGCGCAAGCGUUGUCCGGAAUUAUUGGGCGUAAAGAGCUCGUAGGCGGUCUGUCGCGUCUGCUGUGAAAACCCGAGGCUCAACCUCGGGCCUGCAGUGGGUACGGGCAGACUAGAGUGCGGUAGGGGAGACUGGAAUUCCUGGUGUAGCGGUGGAAUGCGCAGAUAUCAGGAGGAACACCGAUGGCGAAGGCAGGUCUCUGGGCCGCAACUGACGCUGAGGAGCGAAAGCGUGGGGAGCGAACAGG